UUUUUGCGGCAUGGGAUGGGGUCGCGUCCUAUCAGCUUGUUGGUGGGGUAACGGCCUACCAAGGCGUUGACGGGUAGCCGGCCUGAGAGGGCGACCGGCCACAUUGGGACUGAGAUACGGCCCAGACUCCUACGGGAGGCAGCAGUGGGGAAUAUUGCACAAUGGGCGCAAGCCUGAUGCAGCGACGCCGCGUGCGGGAUGGAGGCCUUCGGGUUGUAAACCGCUUUUGUUCAAGGGCAAGGCACGGUUUCGGCCGUGUUGAGUGGAUUGUUCGAAUAAGCACCGGCUAACUACGUGCCAGCAGCCGCGGUAAUACGUAGGGUGCAAGCGUUAUCCGGAUUUAUUGGGCGUAAAGGGCUCGUAGGCGGUUCGUCGCGUCCGGUGUGAAAGUCCAUCGCUUAACGGUGGAUCCGCGCCGGGUACGGGCGGGCUUGAGUGCGGUAGGGGAGACUGGAAUUCCCGGUGUAAC
rnacentral:rRNA from 1 species